rnacentral:rRNA from 1 species
GACGAACGCUGGCGGCGUGCUUAACACAUGUAAGUCGAACGGUAAGGCCCUUCGGGGUACACGAGUGGCGAACGGGUGAGUAACACGUGGGUGAUCUGCCCUGCACUUCGGGAUAAGCCUGGGAAACUGGGUCUAAUACCGGAUAGGACCACUGCCUGCAUGGGUGGUGGUGGAGAGCUUUUGCGGUGUGGGAUGGGCCCGCGGCCUAUCAGCUUGUUGGUGGGGUGAUGGCCUACCAAGGCGACGACGGGUAGCCGGCCUGAGAGGGUGACCGGCCACACUGGGACUGAGAUACGGCCCAGACUCCUACGGGAGGCAGCAGUGGGGAAUAUUGCACAAUGGGCGCAAUCCUGAUGCAGCGACGCCGCGUGAGGGAUGACGGCCUUCGGGUUGUAAACCUCUUUCAGCACAGACGAAGCGCAAGUGACGGUAGGUGCAGAAGAAGGACCGGCCAACUACGUGCCAGCCGCCGCGGUAA